UAAACUUCUAAACAAGAAAAAAGUCUGGAAAUAGAAAAUUAGAAGAACUUAAAGGAAGCAUUUAACAGGAUUUGAAUAAAGUUAAGAAGAGAAAAGAACAACAAAAGAACAAAAACAGAUUAAGAACUGGGAGGGGAGAAUACAAGCAUCAAAGAAGGGAAACAAAAGAAAUUACAAGCUAUUCUUCUUUAACUUGA
rnacentral:lncRNA from 1 species